rnacentral:rRNA from 1 species
CCUACGGGAGGCUGCAGUGAGGAAUAUUGGUCAAUGGACGAGAGUCUGAACCAGCCAAGUAGCGUGAAGGCUGACUGCUCUAUGGGUUGUAAAUUUCUUUUAUAUGGGAAUAAAAUGUUCCAUGUGUGGUAUUUUGUAUGUACCAUAUGAAUAAGGAUCGGCUAACUCCGUGCCAGCAGCCGCGGUAAUACGGAGGAUCCGAGCGUUAUCCGGAUUUAUUGGGUUUAAAGGGAGCGUAGGUGGAUUGUGAAGUGAGUUGUGAAAGUUUGCGGCUCAACCGUAAAAUUGCAGUUGAAACUGGCAGUCUUGAGUACAGUAGAGGUGAGCGGAAUUCGUGGUGUAGCGGUGAAAUGCUUAGAUAUCACGAAGAACUCCGAUUGCGAAGGCAGCUCACUGGACUGCAACUGACACUGAGGCUCGAAAGUGUGGGUAUCAAACAGGAUUAGAUACCCCUGUAGUC